ACUCAAAGGAAUUGACGGGGGCCCGCACAAGCGGUGGAGCAUGUGGCUUAAUUCGAGGCAACGCGAAGAACCUUACCUGGGUUUGACAUCAGCCGGACGGGGUGUGAAAGCACUCUUUCCGCAAGGACUGGCUGACAGGUGCUGCAUGGCUGUCGUCAGCUCGUGUCGUGAGAUGUUCGGUUAAGUCCGGCAACGAGCGCAACCCGCAUUGUCAGUUGCCAGCAGGUCAAGCUGGGCACUCUGGCGAAACUGCCCGUGUUAAGCGGGAGGAAGGUGCGGAUGACGUCAAGUCAGUAUGGCCCUUACGCCCAGGGCUGCACACGUGCUACAAUGGGCGGUACAAUGGGAGGCAAGACCGCAAGGUGGAGCAAAUCCUAAAAACCGUCCUCAGUUCAGAUUGCAGUCUGCAACCCGACUGCAUGAAGCCGGAAUCGCUAGUAAAGGCGUAUCAGCUACGACGCCUUGAAUACGUUCCCGGGCCUUGCACACACCGCCCGU
rnacentral:rRNA from 1 species